ACAUUGAUCCCUCCGACGCUGUCGUCCACCGCAUUCCACUACCCUCACCCCAUCUUCGAUCACCUUCCGCCUCCCGGAUUCUCCGGACACCGGCGACCACUUCCCACCGGCGUAUUUUUCCUCCCGCGGCCGCUGGAGCUCGCUCCGUGUCCCGAGGCCAGGGUUCAGAAUCUCUCCUUCAAGCUAUACCUCCACUUGUUUGUAAUCCGGGCUUCUUCCAUUACAUUGAUUUUACUAAUGUAAUGAUUCUCUUUUCUAAAAUGUAAGGCAUGAGCUCUGUCGAUCAGUUAAGAAGGAAAUGUAAAGGCUUUUAGGAGAGGUAGAAAAUGACUGAAAUGGAAGACGGUAUAUCUGAUGUUGAGAUAGAGGAGCUGGGUAACUCAAUGAAGGAUAAACUGAAAAAAUACAUGUCAUUGGAUACUGUGCAUGCUGAUGGAUCUGAGUUCUGCUUGAUUCCAAGAAUCCAUGAGCAUAUCCGUAUGAUAGACAGAGAUUCUUAUGAACCACUAAUUUUGUCGAUUGGCCCAUAUCACAAUGGGUCUUCAGCACUUUCUUUCAUGGAGAGAAAAAAAUGGAACUGCUUGGACUAUAUCCUUAAGUUAAGCUGUCAAAAAGGUCUGAAAGAUUACUUGACCAUCAUAAACAGACUAGAAAAACGAGCAAGGUCAUGCUAUUCUGGAGAUAUUAAAAUGAAUAAGAGAAAGUUCUUGCAGACUCUCUUGCUUGAUGGAUGCUUUGUACUUGUCUCUCUAAGUCAAUACAAUGAAUUUUUGUGGCCUGAUUCCCUCAGAUAUAUACCUUCUCCUUCGAAUGACAAAACAUUUGAGGGAGCUUUGAGUUUUGGGGAUCAUCAGAAAGUAACUGGGAGAAAUGAAAGUCAACAAGUAAACAAGGGGAAGCAGAGUGCGAUGAAGAACACUCAAUUGGAUCAUGACAGGCACUCUAUGGAAGAAUAUUCAAUCUCUGAUAUUGAGUUAUCUUCGGAAAUCAGUGGCCAGUAUCAGGACCCCAGCCAGCAGAUUGGACAGUGGUAUGGCAUGUUUGUUCCACAUGACUUGCUCCUGUUAGAGAACCAAAUUUCACUUUUUGUAAUUCAGGGAAUACACGAGAUAGUUGUUUCAAAACUUGCAAGUAAAUUGACAACUACUACUGCACUAAGAAGGAGUAUUGUUCAAUGCAUUGAACAGUUUGUACCAUGUUAUCCAAAAGCAAUAAGAGAAUCCAAUCGUCCAAAAGAUUUUGAUCAUUUGUUACACUUAUGUCAUAUGUACGUCAGACCCAGUCCAAACCAGGAUGAGCAUCAUGGUCAUACGGGGCACCACAUUCGUCAUUUUCUUCAGCUAGGAUGGGAUUAUCUACAUCUUACUUACAAGCAGGAGGCAGCUAAUUUAGGUUCGUCACAGAAUGGUCAUUUUCCAUAUCGGUGGCGCCGGGCAUCGCAGUAUCAUGAAGCUGGCAUUGAAUUUAGGAGGAGAGCAUAUAGCGAGUCCAAUCGCCAUUCUCUCCUGGAUAUAAAGCUCAGAGAUGCUGUCUUGGAAAUUCCAUUUUUGCUUGUGGAUGAAAGCACCAGCUUUCUUUUUAGGAACUUUGUAGCGCUGGAGCAAACAUGUCCAAAAGUAGGAAACGAUGUUACUGCCUAUGUUAUUUUCAUGGCUAAGCUUAUGAACAUGCCUGAUGAUGUAGCACUGUUGGCUAGAAAGGGGAUCAUUGCCCACCAUUUGCGCACUGACAGAGAUGUAUCGCAGCUCUUUACGAAGCUGACGAAAGGUGUGGUAUUUGAUUUCUAUGGGAAUUAUUACCUCAUGCCCCUGUCUUUAGCCUUGGAGGCACAUUACCAGAAUCGUCUGCACAGGUGGAUUGCAUGGUUGAAGCACAACCAUCUUAGUAACCCUUGGCUGGCCGUGGCAGGGUUGGCUGGUGUUAUCGUGCUUUUCUGCACUGUUGCACAGACUGUCCUUACUGUCUUGUCUUAUGUUGAUCCCAGGUAAAUACUCAGUGGCCAACAGUCUGUCUGACUCAAAGAUUACAGGACAUGGAAUAAAAGGUCUGCUUUAACUCAGUAGUUGCAAUUACCAUCAAGAAUCAGUUCUCCUAAAUGUGGAGAAACACAAACACACAUUCCCCUUUCUUGACAACACAUGGAAACUGUGUUGGUAGUUUUUGAGACACUAAAUAAAAUCUGCACACUUGGAGGAAACAUGAAUGCACUUUCAAGAGUGCAACUACUCUACAAUGUGACCAUGUGAUCUAUGAUGCUUCGGUAUGUCCAGAUUCAAGAAUGUUCACCUUGAUUAGUUUUCGUUUAUGAGGCUACUUCUGUCAGAAAUGUUGAAUAUUUUGUUAUUUAACGUAGCAAUUUUAAAUAUUCUUAAUUUUUUUUUCUAGACUAAGAGCUUUCCUCUUUAUUAACCAAGUGAAUUACUAUCGAUAUGCUGUCAUUGCAGCAAGAAUGCUGGCACCUGAAACAGGCACGUGCUACAGUGAUAGUUUUGUGCAUUAAAUUUGCACCUACGUUAGCUAUCUGUUUUAUAGACAACUUAAAUUGAAGAGGAUGUCAGACUCAGCUCUUGGAUUUCAUUCAGGGAAUCAUGGUUGUUGCUCUCUCUGAAUGUUGACUGCCCUCAAUCUCCACAGAUUGACAGGUUCCUAUCCUGGGAGUCAGUCUCUUCUAUCGUUGUUUCAUCAAUCUAUUCAGUUCCUUCUUGAUUCCACAAGGUGCUUUUGACAAGGAAGGGUAUCCUGAGCUGCUUCACUUUCAUGCAUUCAAUUUAGUGAAUCCAUUUGGUGCCUAUAGCCAGGUUAGUGAAUAGCUACCCAGAUACACUUCUUUGAAACAUGAAUCCAAUGAGAAGUUGUAUAUCUCAGCCAUGGAAUGGCCUGUGAUAAUUUAAACAAAAUAUUUCUAUGCUUUCUUUCCCUCCUAGAAGACCAGAGGGACACAUCACACAUAAGAUGGCUGCCACAUAUCAACUGCCCAGGUAUGCAUGAUAUGUGGUCUUACCUCAGCCCCACAGUUAUCGUAAAAAACAAUUUUUACAUGCUGUUUUUUCAUAUUACAACCCCCAUUCUUCUUUUGAGCGAAAUAUCUCCAUUCGGCUUAACUUGAUGUUUUUAAAAUAACUUUUUAUGGUCUUCAAGAUGCAACUUCAGCCAUUACCUUCCUUUUUUCUUAAAUACGCAGGAGAUCUGCAUAUUUUUAUAUUAAGAAGAAAGAAAAGCCAUAACCUUCCUUACCUUGGUGAAACUGGAGAGAACUUUCCAGACUGGGUUACUGCACUCGUCCACGAUGGGGCUCAACAUCCUGAUAUGCCCUCUGAUAACUGGUGCUAUGCAGGGCCUAUUAUGACAUGUUGGGAAAUUAGGGAGCUAUUGCUCUAUGGCCCCAGCUUGAGAUUUUGAUUCUCGUUCCCCACAUGCUGCAUGAUGUUCAUUUAAUGCUAAACAAUUCAUUGCUCGUUGGGACAUGGAAAUGGGGCUUCUCCUUUACCAAUUCAAUGACAUUAAGCUACCACCUAGGUAACAAGUUCUAUUGGGUAUAAAUUGUGAAGAAGAACAACUCCCAGCACUCAUAGCAACAAUGAAGAACACAGUCGCUCUCGUCUUGGCAGUGUUGUUUCUACUCAUCGCUGAUCUGAUGAUCGCUUCUGCUCUUGGGAGAGAUGUUCUAGACCUCCCGGAGGACAGCAAUAUCAGUAAGCGUCACAUAAAAAGGAGCCAUUCUGGAUCUAGCAUGAACGAAGCCCGGUUUCUCAGAAGACAAGGGCUUUGUUCUUCUGAAACCGACUACUCGUCCUAUUUAUCUUCCACCUUGCGCUUCAACGGCCUCGCUACACCCAAGCAGGGGCACCAAGAGAGAGAAGCUUUGUUAAAGAGAGCCAA